CCUUACCUUUAAACCAUUCUUUGUCUCUUUCUACAUACAUCCCUUUUCACUUUGUUUUCACUUUUUCCAUCCUCAUUAUCUUCCUUUAUAAUUUUCGUCAACACUAGCAAUGAAGCCCAUGUGAUGUGCACCACCGUUUCAUAGAGUCACAGACUCAUAGUCACCGCCAAGUCUAAUGUGUUCGUUUCAUUUGCUACUUUCUGAUUUGAUCUUUAAUCUAACGCCCCACAAUCUAAAAAACUAAACCCCUCUCCCAAACUAAUAUCACGGUUAACGAUGUGAUAUACUUAAAAUAUACAUCGUUUCAAUUUUGCAUUACUCAUGCUUUAGUGUACACUUUUUCUUAUCUUAUCUUAUCUUAUAUAAAAAGAGAAUUGGGCUUCGGCUGCCCAGGGGUAGAGGCACCAACCUCUUUCUCAACGAAAUUACCAUUCAUGCCCUUAAUGGAAAAAAAAUGAAUUCGGUCUCCCAGUACCAUCAUGUCAGUUCUCUCUCCUCAACCUCUUAAUCUUUCUUUCAUCAGUUUAACCAAAACAAACUUCCCUACUUUCUCUCUGUUCAUCAUCAUCGUCACCUCCGCAGUCGAUUGAUGCCGUUCAGUUCUCCUUGCCGAUGACUCCGAUGUGAAUGGUGCUCCCACUUUUUUGCGCAGGUGCUGAUUUCCUCUUUCGUGCCCUUCAAUUUCCCCAAUUCCACAAGUUUGAUGAUACAGGAAUUAGAAAUCGUAAACAUCGCGAAAUUUGAAGAGCAAUUUGGAGUGCCAUGUUAUGGAAUUCAUUCUGCCACUGAUGACAAAUUGAAGGCAUACGUUGAAAUUCACGGAGUUCCAAACUUUCCACAUACACUAAGAUUCGUCGGAAUGACUUCUAAAGAGGUCAAUCUUUCACAAAAAACUGCAGCUCGAAAAGCCAUUAGCUUUCUUCGAAAUACAUACAAUGUUGACAUUGGAGAUUACAAUUAUUAUCAAAUGAAAUCGCUGGAAGAUAAUUACCGACACUUACUUUUUCUGUACAACAAAAUGUUUUAGAACUUAUUUGUGUUAUUAUAUAAUGUAUUUGAAUCUAAGAUUAAAAUCUAUGUAACAAUCUAUGUAAGAUAUGGUAGAAUAUGUAUUUACCUUUUUUUUUACAAGUAUUAAUAUAUUUGUAUUAUGUUUUUUUUAA